UAGAAGAAGUCAUCCUAGUGGAAAUCAGAGGAGAGUGGGUGGAGAGGAAGCUGUUGUUGGUCCCAUCCAAGACCUCCAGACCCCCUCGCAGCAGGGGUGAGAGAAUGAAACCGAGAAGUUAAUUGGCGGUGAGAGCUUCUCACGGAUCUGACAGGGGCUUUGCUCUCACUGAGAGGUGGGGGUUCUCUGUCCCUCCACUUUGGAUGCUGGUGGCGUCAGGAAUGUUUGGACUAAUAGAGCUCGGCAGAAGGGAUGCUGUAUGACUCAGUCUGGAUCAUAAAAGGCUGUGCAACUUCUACCUCUCUCGCUGGAACCUGCUUGCUCGCAGCCCCAAGCCUCCAUGCAAGACAUCCAGCUACGCUGAGGCCACCCUGGAGUGAGGAAGCCCAGCCACAUGGAGAAAGUGGUUACGGCAGGCAUGUCAGCAGGCCUGGUGUCUGGGUCAUUCCAGCCCAGGCCCCAGCUGGGGUUAGGCAUCCUUCCUGCUUUAGACAGGCUCAGUGGGCUCAGGUGACGUAUUCAAGGUGACGCAGCUCUCCUGACCUCAGGUCUAACGUCACAACUACUUGCUGAAGAUCUGGACUCCAGUCUGGACUCUGACACUGGACAAGCACUGUGAUGUGCUCUCAGUUUCCCAGCCUGUGAAGUGAGAGCAUUGGUAUGAACUGGCUGACAAAAUUCGGAUGCCCAACGUCUUCCCCAGUGGGGUGCUGGCCGUCGAGAGUGUCAGAGUCAGACCUGAGAAUGAACAGUGAGGGGUUGCUAUGGAGCCCUGCUCUGAUCUCCGUGCAGCCCACCUCCUCCCCAGGGCCAAAAACCAACCUUUUUAUCUCCCAACUUGGGCUGAUGACUCGUGCUUUCUGCCAACAUAAAUAUUUAAUUCCGGUGCCCAGCACAGAGAGACCGCCAUGGUAUUAAGGACUCCAGUCCUGGUUUCUACUUUCAAAACAACCCAGGCCGAGGCAUGACUGGGAGGCUGUGCUUGGGACCAAAGGUGAGGCGGCCCGUGGCUGUACUCCAAACAUCAGCUCCUACCACUUGCACUCCCUUCAACUCCUCCGACUGCAUGAGCACACAGGUAAAGAAUCAGGGGAGUGGGGCGGGGGGCCAGGGCAGCCAGCAGAGAGCUCUGGGGUCCUGGGGGAAGCCCCAAUCUGGAACCAACAUGGGUGCUAAGUUCAAGCACAGGCAACAACAAUGUAGAAUAAGUACUAGACAUCUACUGCUGUGCCUGUCAAAGCCCCCCCCCCCAUUCACUCAUAUGUGAACAUUACUAUAAUCUUCAUAGUGCCAACAAUACCAGACCUCAGCAAUGAAUGAUUAUAGUAAUGGUAUUUAAAAUUAAAUAAAUAUAAAUUGAUUUGAAAUUAAAGUGUGCUGCAGUAUCCGACUGAGGAGUGAAUGAUCCUCACGGCUGUGCCACCCACUGUAUGCCUGCUCCCAGCAGAACACCUGCUAGGUGCCCGGCACUCUCCCAAGCAGGAUGAAAAUACUUAAUGGGCAAGAAGAGUGUGGGCCUUGCUUUCCAGGAGCUCACAGAAGAGCAGGGAGAUGGAGAUGGUCAAGUGAACAAGAAAUGGGAUGCAGUGCUAGGAGCACCUCAAUAAAAAUUAAUUAUUGUCUUUACA